GUUUUAAUAGUUUAUUUAAAAUACUAGCAUGUGAGGCUGGGGAAGAGGCACUCUUAGAACA
rnacentral:tRNA from 1 species